AUUGAACGCUGGCGGCAGGCUUAACACAUGCAAGUCGAGCGGGGGAAGUUGCUUCGGUAAUUGACCUAGCGGCGGACGGGUGAGUAAUACUUAGGAAUCUGCCUAUUAAUGGGGGACAACAUCUCGAAAGGGAUGCUAAUACCGCAUACGCCCUACGGGGGAAAGUAGGGGAUCACUUGUGACCUUGCGUUAAUAGAUGAGGUUGAGUCGGAUUUGCUAGUUGGUGGGGUAAAGGCCUACCAAGGCGACGAUCUGUAGCGGGUCUGAGAGGAUGAUCCGCCACACUGGGACUGAGACACGGCCCAGACUCCUACGGGAGGCAGCAGUGGGGAAUAUUGGACAAUGGGGGGAACCCUGAUCCAGCCAUGCCGCGUGUGUGAAGAAGGCCUUAUGGUUGUAAAGCACUUUAAGCGAGGAGGAGGCUCUUUUGGUUAAUACCCAAGAUGAGUGGACGUUACUCGCAGAAUAAGCACCGGCUAACUCUGUGCCAGCCGCCGCGGUAA
rnacentral:rRNA from 1 species